GGCUGUACCUCAAUGGUAGAGUGCUUGCCUUGCAUGUGUGAGGCACUGGGUUCUAUUCUCAGCACCA
rnacentral:tRNA from 1 species